rnacentral:rRNA from 1 species
CCUACGGGUGGCAGCAGUGAGGAAUAUUGGUCAAUGGGCGGAAGCCUGAACCAGCCAAGUAGCGUGCAGGAUGAAGGCCCUACGGGUUGUAAACUGCUUUUAUACGGGAAUAACGCGCCUUACGUGUAGGGCUUUGCAUGUACCGUAUGAAUAAGGACCGGCUAAUUUCGUGCCAGCAGCCGCGGUAAUACGUAAGUUCCGGGCGUUAUCCGGAUUUAUUGGGUUUAAAGGGAGCGUAGGCCGCAUAUCAAGCGUGCUGUGAAAUGUCCGGGCUCAACCCGGGCCUUGCAGCGCGAACUGGCGUGCUUGAGUCCGCAGAAGGCAGGCGGAAUUCGUCGUGUAGCGGUGGAAUGCUUAGAUAUGACGAAGAACCCCGAUUGCGAAGGCAGCUUGCUGCAGCGGAACUGACGCUGAGGCUCGAAAGCGCGGGUAUCGAACAGGAUUAGAUACCCGUGUAGUC